rnacentral:rRNA from 1 species
UGGGGAAUAUUGGACAAUGGGCGCAAGCCUGAUCCAGCCAUGCCGCGUGAGUGAUGAAGGCCUUAGGGUUGUAAAGCUCUUUCGCCGACGAAGAUAAUGACGGUAGUCGGAGAAGAAGCCCCGGCUAACUUCGUGCCAGCAGCCGCGGUAAUACGAAGGGGGCUAGCGUUGUUCGGAAUCACUGGGCGUAAAGCGCACGUAGGCGGAUUGUUAAGUCAGGGGUGAAAGCCUGGAGCUCAACUCCAGAACUGCCCUUGAUACUGGCAAUCUCGAGUCCGGAAGAGGUAAGUGGAACUGCGAGUGUAGAGGUGAAAUUCGUAGAUAUUCGCAAGAACACCAGUGGCGAAGGCGGCUUACUGGUCCGGUACUGACGCUGAGGUGCGAAAGCGUGGGGAGCAAAACAGGAUUAGAUACCCUGGUAGUCCACGCCGUAAACGAUGGAGGCUAGCCGUUGGCGAGCAUGCUCGUCAGUGGCGCAGCUAACGCAUUAAGCCUCCCGCCUGGGGAGUACGGUCGCAAGAUUAAAAACUUAAAGGAAUUGACGGGGUCAUAGCUGUUUCC